rnacentral:rRNA from 1 species
CCUACGGGUGGCAGCAGUCGAAAAUCAUUCACAAUGGGGGCAACCCUGAUGGUGCGACGCCGCGUGGAGGAUAAGGUCUUCGGAUUGUAAACUCCUGUCAUGCGAGAGCAAGAUUUGAGCGGGUAACUCCGCUGAAUUUGAUAGUAUCGCAAGAGGAAGAGACGGCUAACUCUGUGCCAGCAGCCGCGGCUAAUACAGAGGUCUCAAGCGUUGUUCGGAAUCACUGGGCGUAAAGGGUGCGUAGGUGGCGUGGAAAGUCAGAUGUGAAAUCCGGGGGCUCAACCUCCGAAUAGCAUCCGAUACUCCCAUGCUAGAGAACUGGAGGGGGAUCUGGAAUUCUCGGUGUAGCAGUGAAAUGCGUAGAUAUCGAGAGGAACACUAGUGGCGAAGGCGAGAUCCUGGACAGUAUCUGACACUGAUGCACGAAGGUCAGGGNAGCAAACGGGAUUAGAUACCCCGGUAGUCCUGACAGUAAACGGUGCACGUUUGGUGUGGGAGGAUUCGACCCCUUCUGUGCCGGAGCUAACGCGUUAAACGUGCCGCCUGGGAAGUACGGUCGCAAGAUUAAAACUCAAAGAAAUUGACGGGGACCCGCACAAGCGGUGGAGUAUGUGGCUUAAUUCGAUGCAACGCGAAGAAC